UUUAAGUAAUUAUUUGUUUUAGUUGAAAAACCCCAAAAAGGGCAGGCGUUAACGUAAGCAAUGGAACGAGUUAACGAAAGAGAAGAUUUCACGCUGGUGACGAGGAAGCCUUAUUUCGGUUUGCCCACGGCAUGCCCAAUUUGCUUACCUGUUUACAUUUAUCUCAAGUUCGCUCGCCUUCCUUUUCACUUGGCCUUCGAUUCUACUUACCCUGACUCCGGUACCCUUUUAUUUUCAUUUUUUCCUUUAAAUUUUCAAGCUCUGCUUUUUCUGCUUCAUGUUCUGUUUUAGGCUUCUGAUUAUGCCCUGUUUCGGCAUUUUUGUAUAGGAUUUUUGGUUGCUUUUCUAAUUGUGUUUUUCGUUUAUUUUGGUAAAUUUGUUGUCUGGGCAAUGCUUAUUUUUGUUCAUUUAAAAUCAAAUGAUUGUCAUUGUGUAUUGUAUUUUGUAAAUGAGAUAAUUUGAACAUUUUUUUUUUCCCAAAACCAUGGGAUAAUUAUUGAAAACACAGUCUUAUGAUUAAUUGGAUAUGUUUAAGCUCAUUGACUAGAAUUUUAACUUGAUUUGUAUGUUCCUUUCCAUUGUUUUUUAUCCAUUAUCAGUAUAUCAUAUGCACGAUGAUUAGAAGUUAUUAAAGACAUGAUUAUCAUAAAAUAUAAAAGAUAAGAUAUUUCUUAAUAAUACUUAAUAAGUGACUACAAAUAAAAUCUAACAAAAACAGUUCUUUUAAGUUCUAUGAAUUGUGCAUUAGUUGUUAAAUCCUAUCAAAUUUAAUGGCAUAAGAAUUUGGCUAAACGUAGAGAUAAGAAUAGGUGGUAAGAAUUGAAGAGUAUAAAUGAGUUUGUACACUAAUUUGACAAUAAAUCAAAGAGUUCAAUAUAUAUAUAUAUAUAUAUAUAUAUAUUUGGGUACUUGAUGCAAAGUAAGAAAUUGAAGAAAUCAUAUUAAUAUUUAGGAAUACUUUAAUUAAUUUAUAUUAUAGUUCAAUUUUAUUACCCUUAUUUGAGUUUGUAUUAUUAAUUUAGGUAUGAGUCUUAUUUAAGUAAGUUUUUUAGUUAAAUUAAGAUAAAUUAUAGUUAUAUAAAUAAAUAUCUUUUCUAUCUUUUACAUGCAGACUUUAGUUAUUUAUUAUUAAUUAUUUCUUGUAAUAAACUCUUGGUUUGAAUUUUGUUCUUUUUAUUUUUUGAUAUUCUGUGUAAUCAAUAAGUUUUAACACCUAUAUUUGUGUAUAUUCUUAAAAUCAAUACAUAUUUAGUUUAUUUGUUUAUUAUAAUUUUUUCAAGAAUUAACAGAAUAUUAAAAAUAUACUCAUCUAUUUAUCACCCCUAUAUAUAUAUAUAUAAUUUUUUUUCCUUCCGCUGCAUUAGUUUCACUAUCAAACCUUCUUUUUUUUAUCCGGUUGUAGAAUUUUUACGCAUCAUUAGUUUGAAAAUUUUAACAAGCCAAAGUCUAUGAACUUUAUAUAUAUAUUUCAAUUUAAUGAUGCAAUAACGUGCCAACGUGCGCUGCGUAGCGCAGGCCUUAUCUUUUGAUGCAUUGUCCACUCUAGUGGGUCCAUUACGAACCCGGUCAGAACCCGAAUUAUAUGUCUACAUAACCGAGCCGCGAGGGGGAAUCCGUACCUAGGACCUUUUUGGGCCUCAAUAAAGUCAGUAGUUUGGCCCAGCCCAUUGGACUGACUUGGCCCAAAUAAAAUAUGCAGGGCUAUUCCAAACCCUCCUCUGUUGCCAUCACCCACCUGCAAAACCCUACUUACUGACACAGUACUUGAAUUCAAAAUCAUUUUAAGUAAUUAUUUGUUUUAGUUGAAAAACCCCAAAAAGGGCAGGCGUUAACGUAAGCAAUGGAACGAGUUAACGAAAGAGAAGAUUUCACGCUGGUGACGAGGAAGCCUUAUUUCGGUUUGCCCACGGCAUGCCCAAUUUGCUUACCUGUUUACAUUUAUCUCAAGUUCGCUCGCCUUCCUUUUCACUUGGCCUUCGAUUCUACUUACCCUGACUCCGGUACCCUUUUAUUUUCAUUUUUUCCUUUAAAUUUUCAAGCUCUGCUUUUUCUGCUUCAUGUUCUGUUUUAGGCUUCUGAUUAUGCCCUGUUUCGGCAUUUUUGUAUAGGAUUUUUGGUUGCUUUUCUAAUUGUGUUUUUCGUUUAUUUUGGUAAAUUUGUUGUCUGGGCAAUGCUUAUUUUUGUUCAUUUAAAAUCAAAUGAUUGUCAUUGUGUAUUGUAUUUUGUAAUUCUAUCUCUGUUAAAGGCCGAAGCUUUUUUUUUUUUUUUAAACUAAUGUUGAUACAAAAUGGAAUCAGUAGCUGGGUGAUUGAUAGACAAUUGUUGUGGAUUAAAAUGGGUCCUUGUCAAAUGUUUGAGGAGACCAGCAGUAAUAAACGUACCUGUUUCGUGCAUAUGACUAUUCGAUGAUUUUUGUUAUCUUUUGAAGGUUUGUAAAAAGUACAUGUUGAUGUUGUAUAGAUUUUAAUGUCAGAU
rnacentral:lncRNA from 1 species